GAAAGCAUUCUCGGCCACUAGGACUAGUCAGGAUGUGUAUUACAUGUGGCUGGCUUUUGGGGUUGGGAGUAAUAACUAUUGUAAUUAGUUCUAUCAAAACAGCCCACUAUGUACUGUGCUGUAAAAGUGCAUAUAAAAUACCCUAUUGACAUCUGAGUGAAGUGUUGGACUGCAUUAAUGGGGAGAAAACAAAUGUCCAGUGUGCCAAAGGGUCACGUGUGUUCCUGAAGGGACUGAGGCGACGCAGUCGGAGGUCCCUGCGGUGGCGGUCAGCGGGAGGUGUCAAGACCAACCAGCUCCUCGUCCAGGAAAGGGGAAUUCUUCAGACCGUUCUUCAAAGGUUCAAUAAAGUCACGAUGGAAGAGCAGAUGGCUGUGCAGUUGCCAUGGUGGAGAGACCCAGAGUAUGAUGACCGAACAGUUGAUCUACAACGAUGGCCUUCUCCCUAUCCACCCUGAGGAUCCCUGGCUACACCUACAAUCCAAUCUACCCCAGACAUAACCACUC